rnacentral:rRNA from 1 species
GACGAACGCUGGCGGCGUGCUUAACACAUGCGAGUCGAACGGAAAGGCCCUGCUUUUGUGGGGUGCUCGAGUGGCGAACGGGUGAGUAACACGUGAGUAACCUGCCCUUGUCUUUGGGAUAACUUCAGGAAACUGGGGCUAAUACCGGAUAGGAGCUCCUGCUGCAUGGUGGGGGUUGGAAAGUUUCGGCGGUAGGGGAUGGACUCGCGGCUUAUCAGCUUGUUGGUGGGGUAGUGGCUUACCAAGGCUUUGACGGGUAGCCGGCCUGGGAGGGUGACCGGCCACAUUGGGACUGAGAUACGGCCCAGACUCCUACGGGAGGCAGCAGUGGGGAAUAUUGCACAAUGGGCGGAAGCCUGAUGCAGCAACGCCGCGUGCGGGAUGACGGCCUUCGGGUUGUAAACCGCUUUCGCCUGUGACGAAGCGUGAGUGACGGUAAUGGGUAAAGAAGCACCGGCUAACUACGUG